rnacentral:lncRNA from 1 species
CCCUCAGCACUCCCCAUGGGGCUCACUAACCUUGGCUACCUUCAUCGUUUAUGGGAGUUGAGCUGUGCAUGCUUGAGACUGCCAUUUGUUUCUUCUUGCAUUGAAAUAACUUGCUUUUCUCUUUCAGCAACCCUGGGGUUCAACAAUUUGAAACUGCUUCACACCAAGAGCAGAGAAACUCGCUCUGUGGUUAUCACCUCAGAGAGACACAAUACCCAAAACCUGAGAACAUUCGCCUUGUUUUGUUGGAGUCAACACAUCUGCCAGAUGUUCUGCACAUAUUUGUCAAUUUCUGUGGUCUGACUCAGAGCACAGGAAGUGUGGGUACUUCUGCUGGUGUCAAUCAUUGGGACUGGAUUAUGUCUAAGCAUCUUCAACCUCACAGGGAGGAGCUUGACCGGAGAAAGAGGCUGAGAACUGCUUCUCUUACCAAGGACCUUCCCCAAGCCAGGCAUCUCCGGAGAUGGUAUGGAGCCUGGGGUAGCUCGGCCAGGCCUUUGAUCACCAGCGAUGCCAUUGCUCUUCCCCGUUUCGCGUCUGCUGUGGCUUGCUGCUGAGGCUGCUUUCAGACCUCUGGAAUCAGAAAAGGAGGUGACUAUAUCAGGUUGAAUGCCUUGAUGGUCUAGACGUGUGACACUUGCUGCAUUUAUGAGACUGGAGGUGGGGCCCCACCCAAGUUCUGCUUCCAGAGGAGGAGGCAAGACCAAGACACCAAAACAAGGUUCAGCAGAGGACACAUCUGGAACCCCUUUCCUGCUGGAGUGGACAGUGGAGGCAGCGCCACAGUGGAUUUUCAUUGGUGUCUCCCCUGGCUGCCUGGUGGCUGCCUGUCAGAGCCAGCGCUUGAGAACGUGGCUGCUAGUGAAAGUGUUUAUGUGUUUAUGUGACCACAGGUAGCAAACAGAUAAGAAACUAUCCGACUGAGGAGCAGCAAGGGUCUGGAGCUACUGCGAUUGGGUGACCUGGGUAGAGACCCUCCUGGAGAUUUCACUCUGACUAGAACUGGAAGGACAAACCCACCGCAGGAGAACCUUCAGGAGUGAGGCUAACUCAUCUGUGCCACUUAAUGCCGGAGUAACAAAGCCCCCAUCCACUGAGGACGGAGAGAGCAGAUUGUAAGGAGAGAGCAGAUUGUGUGGAGAGGCAGGGGUUUCUGUCACGUAGAAAGCAUCUUGUACAAUGUCUGACACACAGCAAGUGACCAAAAUGUGCCAGGCUGGUCCACCCAGUGCUCUCCAAACACCGUGGUCGCUUGCAUCUGUGGGAUUUUGCUGGUGAUCCUUCCCUAUUUAUCUGAGAUAAAGAAAUUGAAGAACCAUGAAAUUAAGGCACAUUGCCACAUCAUACAGUGGGCAAAUGCUGGAACAAGGUUAGAAUUCCCUUCUGUCUGAAUACUGUUUUAAAAAGUACUCCAA